ACGGUCGUAUCACGUUGAAACACCGGUUCUCGUGCAAUCAGUGAAGUUAAGCAAUGUCGAUCCUGGUCAGAACCUAGAUGGGAGACUGCUUGGGAAUACCAGGUGCUGUAA